UACGUAGGGGGCGAGCGUUGUCCGGAGUUACUGGGCGUAAAGCGCACGCAGGCGGUCUGCUAAGUUUGGAGUGACAGUUGGUGGCUUAACUGCCAAAGUGCUUCGAAAACUGACAGACUUGAGGGCUUCAGAGGGACACGGAAUUCCGGGUGGAGUGGUGAAAUGCGUAGAGAUCCGGAGGAACACCAAAGGCGAAGGCAGUGUCCUGGGGAGUAACUGACGCUGAGGAGCGAAAGCGUGGGGAGCGAACAGG
rnacentral:rRNA from 1 species